rnacentral:rRNA from 1 species
UACGUAGGGUGCGAGCGUUGUCCGGAAUUAUUGGGCGUAAAGAGCUUGUAGGCGGUUUGUCGCGUCUGCUGUGAAAAUCCGGGGCUCAACUCCGGACUUGCAGUGGGUACGGGCAGGCUAGAGUGUGGUAGGGGAGACUGGAAUUCCUGGUGUAGCGGUGGAAUGCGCAGAUAUCAGGAGGAACACCGAUGGCGAAGGCAGAUCUCUGGGCCGUAACUGACGCUGAGGAGCGAAAGCAUGGGGAGCGAACAGG